GGGAUACAUUGGGAAACUGGUGCUAAUACCGAAUGGUCUUCAUUUCUGUUAGGGAGAUGGAGUAAAGGUGGCCUCUUCAUGAAAGCUACCGUGUAGGGAUGAGCCUGCGUACCAUUAGCUAGUAGGUGGGGUAAUGGCCCACCUAGGCUACGGUGGUUAGCGGGUCUGAGAGGAUGAUCCGCCACACUGGAACUGGAACACGGACCAG
rnacentral:rRNA from 1 species